GCCCGGAUGGUGGAACUGGUAGACACGCUAUCUUCAGGUGGUAGUGCCAUUGGUGUGCAGGUUCGAGUCCUGUUCCGGGUA
rnacentral:tRNA from 1 species